GGAAGGGGGAGCAGUGCCGGUGGGUAUCACUGCCACCGUCGCUGCUGUUGCUGUCGAAUAGAAGAGGGAGGGAGGCCGUCGCACUUCUAGCCGCCGCUGAAGCUUCUCUCACCACUGUCAAAGCCGGUUAGGGCAGAAGAGAAGAGGAAGAAUGACGGAGAAGAGAAAUUAACGGGGAGGGUAAUGUUGUUGCUGUCAAUUUGGAGCUACUACAGGAACGGUGGUUCCUGCCUCUAACCUUUGCUCUUUUGAUUUCUGGAGCUGCCGUGGGUGGAGCUUGUCAUCGAAGAAAGCAAGCUGCCGCUAGCAACUCUUAAUCAAGCCAGUAUCCUCCUCCUUGUUCUGAUUCUAAUUUUCCCAUUUUUGAAACCCCCCUUUUUGGCACCUAUUUCCUGUUACAAUUAGGUCGAGUAUUGAAGCUGGUGCUGCCAUGGGACGGUUGAAGCUGUUACUGAUUCUAAUUUUGCUAUCUGGAGCUGAAAUUGCUUUUGAUUCCUAUCCAAUUUGAAUCCUCUAUUUUACUGCAACCAUGGUCAGUGCUGCGAAGGCUAAUGUUGUUGCUGUUCCGGUUGCGUGAGAGUUACCGCUGCUGCCCUGAAACUAAAAGAGAAGAGAGUUGUUACGUUAAAGUAUGCGAUUGCGACAUCGAGGUAGGGGGUUUAAAAUGAUUUUAAUUUAGGAAUGCCAACAAGGUUUACUGAAUAACUGCAAAUAGUAUUAAUAGUUGUGAGUAAUUAGUUGAUUAUAUGAAUGUUGGAUUGUGAUUGCGAUUGUGCUUGGUGCUGUGAUUGAAUUGAUUGUAAUUAUGUGUGGUAGAUGAUUGAAUUAUUGAUUAUUGGUUGUUGA